UUCCUUCCAUGUCUUAGUGGCGGCCUGCUAAAUUAGUACCUUCGAGUGCGCAUUAUGUUCGUGAGGGCUAUGGCUGUUGCGAUUGCAUCGACAUGCCCAUGACGAAGGAGCCUGCUGAUCUAGUCAAAAACUAGAUCAUGGAACUAGCCGAUAAUACAGUCUGGUUGGAAUCUCUUGGAUACACUUAUAUUGAUAUCCGACCUCCGAAUCGGGUGUAAGCUGCUCUCAGAGGAAAACAAAGGGAAGCGCCGAGGUGGUAAACAGCACAUUCAACAGUAUGUAGGAAAUGGCGAAAUGAAUGUCAACGGAUCCUUCAGCCUGGGGGCGGGAAUUCAAGAAUUCCCAUAUACAGAGGAGCAUUCCUCAUAGAUACUAGAAGUGUGGGAUUGGAUUCUAAUGUUUGUCACAGAAUAACAACACAACUUCAAAAAGGCAUUUUCUGUCUGUUUCCAAAUGAGAAAAGACGGAUCGCUCAGUAAUUUAAAUAAAAGAAAAUAAAGGAAGAAAUCAAGGGCAGAUAAGGUAUUGAGCUGCAGAUAUGGCCUGCACAGACGUCAUUGUUGCAAUUGAACCAAAGACUCUCAAUUGUGAGUUCUAACUCACGAUAGCGGCCGUGUUGUUACGUCCCGUGACGCAUUUUUCUAGAAGAAUAAGGA
rnacentral:sRNA from 1 species